GAGGGAUGUGACCCAACUGACAUGGGUACUGGGAGAGCCCAGCUGUGCAGCCACUGCUUGAAAGGAAUCUGCUCUUUCUGCCUGCUUAUGCUCUGCAGAUUGAGUACAGCCUUCAGGGAAAAGGGCAACAGGAUCUUCAGGAGUGGUGGUGCCAAACAGUUGUGCAAAGAGCUCCCUGGGCAGGAACCACCACUAUGGAAGUCUCUGGGAGAGCACUCCUUGGGAUGGAUGGGUUUGCUUUGAAGUUCCAGACUCUUGGGCCAGGCAUGUGAUUGCCUUGUGACUGUACAUGAGGUCUGUCCCUUGGUCAUCUUAGACAUUCCUUAAUGGGCCUCGUGACUCUUGUAAGGUUUGUCUUUGUGUGACAUACUGAAUCCCACACAUUCAUCUCUGAGAAGCAGGAGUCUUACAUGUGCAGAUGAGCCUCAGUUCCUGGGCUGGAUUUGACUCAAAGUGAAGCUGAAGUUCUGAAGAACUUCUUCUAAAACUAGCUCAGAUGCUGAGCACACAGAGAGCUCAGAUCUCAGUGGCAGUACCCCUGGGAGGGGCUCUCCUACAAAUGCACACUGAUACAGAAGGACCAAGAAGAGGAAGGAGAAACCAAUGGGAUACUUGAGUUUCAAGUGAGUUAUUAAGUUCAUUUGGAAAAAGUCAUUUAAUUUCCUGUCAUUUAACUUUCUCUCUGUCUAACUACCCAAUAGUUUUGGAAGCUUUUCUCUUGUGCAAGGUAUCAAAUAGAGUAUGGCCCCUGGAAUGAAGUGUAUUUGAUUAGGGAUAGAGAUUUGAAAUCAAAUAGUGUGUGAAGCCAUGAGGAAAAAAAAAAAAAGAAACUCAGGAAAACUUGCAUGUCAAAUUAGAAUGUGUUAGCACUUUUAUUAGUGCUUCAUUUGAAGCUAGGCAGUUUUCAAGGAAAAAUCUCAGAGAGGAGAUUCCACUUAUUAAUGGAGUCAAUUCAGAAUUGUGGCACUUGAGGAGAUCAUAAGAGUUUCUGAUGAAGGCUCAAAGAUACUGCUGGACACUGACUCCAUGUUUGGUUGCCAGUGGAGGAAGCAGAGGGCACAACAGCAAAACUUGCAAUAGAAAAUGACUGCUGUACUCAUGCUAACCAGGAGGAAGAAAGUCCCAUGGAGCCUCCAGAUUUAUCUGAAUCCAUGUAAUAAGUUCCAGACUGAAGAUGAGCGGUAGACUACAUACAUUGAUGCAAUACAGAAUAGAGUUAAAAAGAAACACUGUGGUCUCAUUUCAGAGGUUUUAUGUGCUUUUACAUUUGCAAAAAGUAAGUAUCU
rnacentral:lncRNA from 1 species